CGCGCCGACGCCGCCUCACAUCCAGGUUUACAGGUUGAAGCCAGUCCUGAUCCCGGAGUGUCCCACUGGGAAAUCUAGAGACAAGCAGGGACACACGGGGACCGUCCAGUCACAAAUUCACACACCUAAGGACAAGAGUCUUCAGUUAACGUAACAGGCAUGUUGAACCGAAGUACCCAGAGGAAACCCAUGCAACAGUGCCACCAUGCAGCUCCAGUCUCUUCAUAUUGAAAUAAUAAAUGUGUGCUGUGUGAUGAGACAAAGUGCACCUCAGCUUCAUCAGGUUGACUGAUGGCUGGCAGUGGUCCGACCCACACACAGCUACAGGCAGUUCAAACUCCCUAAACAAGAUGGAUUUGGAAUCACGCAGCACCUCCUGCUGUUUGACAAAUAACAUCUGACCUGUUCAGACGGACUGCAGCGAGUUUUCUGCUAAGCUUUUAUACGGAUAAGUGCUUGUUUUAAAUGGUGUAACUGUGAACAAACCUCUUUUGGUGUUCCUUUGUGAGGCAUUCUGUUUUCCUGUUUAUAGCUUUUUAGAAAUAAUUCAACAUGUCUUUAUUUUUCCAAAGUCUGAAAUGGAUUCACUUGCUCGGGUGCACUACACCGAUUGUUUUCUUUAUGUCCUUUUUGUCUUGUUAUUCUUGUCAAAAUAAAAUUCAGGCCCUG